UCGGAUAUGGUGUAACGGCUAACAUUGCCGCCUUUCAUGUCUUUCCGGUCUUUCCGCGGCAGCUCGGGGUUCGAUUCCCCGUAUCCGAA